rnacentral:rRNA from 1 species
GUCAGCUCGUGUCGUGAGAUGUUCGGUUAAGUCCGGCAACGAGCGCAACCCGUAUCGUUAGUUACCAUCAGGUAAUGCUGGGAACUCUAACGAGACUGCCCGUGUUAAGCGGGAGGAAGGCGCGGACGACGUCAAGUCAGUAUGGCCCUUAUGUCCGGGGCUGCACACGUGCUACAAUGGCCGGUACAAUGGGCAGCGAGACUGCGAAGUCGAGCAAAUCUCCAAAUCCGGCCUCAGUUCAGAUUGCAGUCUGCAACUCGACUGCAUGAAGUUGGAAUCGCUAGUAAAGGCGUAUCAGCAAUGGCGCCUUGAAUACGUUCCCGGGCCUUGUA